rnacentral:rRNA from 1 species
UACGAGAGCCUCGAGCGUUAUCCGGAAUUAUUGGGCGUAAAGGGUGCGUAGGUUGUUCUGUUAGUCUUUUGUUAAAUCCCUUGGCUUAACCAAGGGCUCGCGAAGGAAACGGCAGGACUUGAAAGUGUGAGAGGCGUACGGAACUCAUGGUGUAGGGGUGAAAUCCGUUGAUAUCAUGGGGAACACCAAAUGCGAAGGCAGUACGCUGGCGCAUAUUUGACACUGAAGCACGAAAGCGUGGGUAGCGAAU